rnacentral:rRNA from 1 species
AACGAACGCUGGCGGCAUGCCUAACACAUGCAAGUCGAACGAGAUCUUCGGGUCUAGUGGCGCACGGGUGCGUAACGCGUGGGAAUCUGCCCUUUGGUUCGGAAUAACAGUUGGAAACGACUGCUAAUACCGGAUGAUGACGAAAGUCCAAAGAUUUAUCGCCAGAGGAUGAGCCCGCGUAGGAUUGGCCGGUUGGUGGGGUAAAGGCGCACCAAGGCGACGAUCCUUAGCUGGGCUGAGAGGAUGAUAAGCCACACUGGGACUGAGGCAGGGACCAGACAGCUGGGGGAGGCAGCAGUGGGGAAUAUUGGACAAUGUGCGAAGGACUGAUCCAGAAAUGCCGCGUGAGUGAUGAAGGCCUUAGGGUUGUAAAGCUCUUUUACCCGGGAUGAUAAUGACAGUGCCGGGAGAAUAAGCUCCGGCUAACUCCGUGCCAGCCGCCGCGGUAA